rnacentral:tRNA from 4 species
GGGCCCGUAGCUCAGCCAGGUAGAGCGACGGGCUCUUAACCCGUAGGUCCCGGGUUCGAAUCCCGGCGGGCCCGCCA